GCUGCAGUACCUCAGUGGUAGAGCCCCAGCUUCGCAUGCGGAGAGGCCUGGGUUCGAUUCCCGGCUGCUUCC
rfam:Toxocara canis scaffold364, whole genome shotgun sequence.